rnacentral:RNase_P_RNA from 1 species
CCAGACGGUCGGAUGGUCGCCGCGCAAGCGGAGGAAAGUCCGGGCUCCAUGAGAACACGGUGCCGGGUAACUCCCGGCGAGGGAAACCUCAGGGAUAGCGCCACAGAAAAUAUACCGCUCGGCAGAGUAAGGGUGAAAUGGUGCGGUAAGAGCGCACCGCGCCGGCAGCAAUGGCGGCGGCAUGGCAAGCCCCACCGGGAGCAAGAUCAAAUAGAGACGAAAGAAUCGCACCACACCCUCGCGAUUCUAGGCAGCGUUUUCAGGCCUCAUAACGUCCGGGUUGAUCGCACGAGGCGCACAGCAAUGUGCGUCCCAGAUGAAUGACCAUCGUCGUUCCACAACGAUACAGAACCCGGCUUACAGACCGUCUGGCACU